rnacentral:rRNA from 1 species
GUCGAGGAUCAUUCGCAAUGGGCGGAAGCCUGACGAUGCGACGCUGCGUGGAGGAUGACGGCCCUCGGGUUGUAAACUCCUGUCACGGGGGGCGAGGCGGAGGCGGUGAACAGCCGCCCGAGUUGACGGUACCCCGAGAGGAAGCCACGGCUAACUCUGUGCCAGCAGCCGCGGUAAUACAGAGGUGGCGAGCGUUGUUCGGAUUUACUGGGCGUAAAGGGCGCGUAGGCGGCCGGUCGUGUCGGGUGUGAAAUCCAUGGGCCCAACCCAUGAAGUGCGCCCGAAACUGCCCGGCUGGAGUGCGGGAGGGGAGAUCGGAAUGCAUGGUGUAGCGGUGAAAUGCGUUGAUAUCAUGCAGAACACCGGUGGCGAAGGCGGAUCUCUGGAACGCUACUGACGCUGAGGCGCGAAAGCAGGGGGAGCAAACAGGAUUAGAUACCCGGGUAGUCC